rnacentral:rRNA from 1 species
GCAACCCCAGGUUAGGCGGGCC